AGUUUCCCCUGCCCCCUCCUGUGAAAUUCGAAGUUAUAUCAAAACCUAUUGAAGUAACCCAGAGCCCUGUAUGAUGGAGCAAUACCAUCUUAUGAGAAACCAUAAUCCUGUAACAUAUAUGGAAGAUGGUUUCCAAAGACACAGGGACUUAUGGGAGGUAUUUUUACCAAGACACAAGAGGGAAGGCAGCUGCAGAUGCUGAAGUGGUUUUUGCUCCUGGGUUGUUCUGGCAGCUGCCCUGACUCCAGAAUCAGCGUUUUGCUCACUGCCUGGCCAAGCUGCCGUCCGUCAGCGUGUGGCUUAUGAGGUUGUGAGUGGGAAUGGAAGGAAGAAAGAGCAAGAGGAGACAGCUGAAGGUAAGGCAAGGAUGUGGGCUUGAGUAGGAAGGGGAACUUGUAGGAAAUCACAGUACUUUGAUGAUGAAUCAGCAUCCAAUAAACGUUGGGUGAGCUCCUGCUACUGUGGCCAGAAGAACUACUCUGGUGCAGAACUGAGCUGGUCUUUCCUUCUGGUCCAUUUGUCAGACGCCUGUCCGUGCAUCUUCAAAGGGUUUCUCUGCAGAUCUUCUAAGUCCUCACCCUCUGUGCUGAGACUUGGUGGCCUUGAGAUGCCUGGGUCUCCUCUUAGUGUUUCCAACCUUGUUCCUUGUAGCCC